UAUGAUUCUCACACAUGGAAACAAAUGAGCUAACUGCAGUCAGGAUUGCUCAUUCCAGAGCUUUCUGGACAAGGCACAGGCCUUCUGUUAGCUCCUAUGACUGCUGCGCAAGGAAGCUGAGUCUGACAGGUGUCUGUCUUCAUAUCAGUAAUUAUUACUAGAAGCACAGCUGAAGUCAAGAGCCAUUUUGAAAUAAGAGUGGCAACCAUCAGAACUUCAUGUCAGCUAUGAAAAUAAACUGUAUGUUUUUUUACGAAACAUGGUUUUUCUAUAAAAUCCUUUUGCAGCUAAGAAAAAUACCACAGGAAAAACAUCUGUAUUGGGAUCCUAUCUAAUGUGCUUCAAGAGUACCUAAGAUGUUUGCUGAAAAGAUUUUUUAAGAGCAUUUCUGUAAACUACUAAUUAACUUCUUAAACAGGAAAAGCUCAUCAAGAUCAUGAUUUAUGCCAUCCAUUCUGAAAAUAUCAAUACAGCAGGAAUAGAACAACAGAAACCGGAGGACUGAACAAAGGAUAUGAAAUAUGAAAUUUAUAUGAUACAUAAAAGUGUUGAAGGGGCUAUGGAAAAAAAAAAGGAAUGUUACAGUGCAAGAUGCAAACAAUUAAAAUUAAACUAAUUAAAGCCAAAAUACAA